GCGACGAGGUUGAUACCCGGUGUAUUAGAUUUUAUUGCAAAGAGGACGCCAUAGUGAACCGAUUGGAUCUUGGAUUGGAUUUUUAACAAGAGUACGGUGUGGUACAGUGGUAGAAAAAAAGCAAUUUUGAUCGGCCAUUGGGGUAAAAUUAGAAGCUACGGCAAACUGCUUUGUCACCAUAAGAGGAAAGGCAUUGGGCGAAGUUGUUUUCGUGAGGCCAAACACGAGGAAAUCAACUGGGGCGGUUUCGCAUAGCUGGCGGUUUUGACGAUACCGGACCACUCUCCCGCCUCCCAGUAAGAUCGUUUCCGAAGUGGAAAGAACUUUAGACAUUGUCGGCAACUGUCGAGGAUUUCUCGGGUGCAAAUUGGAAACGUUCCAACCAUUGCGUACUGCAACCAAGUACGAAGAUGUAAGUCAGAAGACAACUGUAGACGGGACGUGGUAGUCGUUUUGAGACGAUGCGAUGAGGAUAGAUCAGAGAAUAAUUUCUCACGAAAUGAUGAAGGAGGGGCAACAGGCAAUGAAACGCCGGCGAACAUCGUUCCUCGAGCUGGCGUUAAACGAAAGAGUGACGAAUUGGCAGGUUUUACACCGAGGCGAUCGAAGCGAAUUAAGAAAUCUAAGAAAGAGGAUGUAUAUGUUUAUAAUUAAUCAGGUCUAUUGGCUUUGAUUUGUCUGAGUUUAUUGAUUUUCCUUAAAUUGAAUAUAAAGUUCAUUCGAAUUGUUGAAUUUAAACUUCUGAAUUUUGAACUCUACUUAGUAUUAGUCGUCAGUGAAUGCUGGAAAUCUAAAAAACCCAAAGGGGUAAGGAGUUGUAGUAUAUAUCCAACUUGGACUUUAUUUUGUUUAGAGUGCACGUCAAAUGACAGCUGCCUACAGUCCAAUACA